rnacentral:rRNA from 1 species
ACGCACGCUGGCGGCGUGCUUAACACCUGCAAGUCGAACGGAAAGGCCCUGCUUUUGUGGGGUGCUCGAGUGGCGAACGGGUGAGUAACACGUGAGUAACCUGCCCUUGACUUUGGGAUAACUUCAGGAAACUGGGGCUAAUACCGGAUAGGAGCUCCUGCUGCAUGGUGGGGGUUGGAAAGUUUCGGCGGUUGGGGAUGGACUCGCGGCUUAUCAGCUUGUUGGUGGGGUAGUGGCUUACCAAGGCUUUGACGGGUAGCCGGCCUGAGAGGGUGACCGGCCAAAUUGGGACUGAGAUACGGCCCAGACUCCUACGGGAGGCAGCAGUGGGGAAUAUUGCACAAUGGGCGGAAGCCUGAUGCAGCAACGCCGCGUGCGGGAUGACGGCCUUCGGGUUGUAAACCGCUUUCGCCUGUGACGAAGCGUGAGUGACGGUAAUGGGUAAAGAAGCACCGGCUAACUACGUG